UGAUAUUAUUUUUAAACCUUUGUCCCUCUAAUUUAAGACUAUGUCCUCUUGUUGUGGUAGUUCUCCUUCUUUUAAAUAUAGUCUCCUCCUUUACAGUGUUGAUUCCCUUUAUGUAUUUAAAUGUUUCUAUCAUAUCCCCCCUGUCUCGUCUUUCCUCCAAGCUAUACAUGUUAAGUUCUUUUAACCUUUCCUGGUAAGUUUUAUC